rnacentral:rRNA from 1 species
AACGUAGGUUCCGAGCGUUAUUCGGAUUUACUGGGCGUAAAGCGCGUUCAGGCGGUUUGGCAAGUCGGGCAUGAAAUCUCUCGGCUCAACCGGGAGAGGUUGUCCGAUACUGCUGGACUUGAGGGCAGUAGAGGGUGGUGGAAUUCCGGGUGUAGUGGUGAAAUGCGUAGAUAUCCGGAAGAACACCAAUGGCGAAGGCAGCUCUCUGGGACGGUACUGACGCUGAGACGCGAAAGCGUGGGGAGCGAACAGG